AUUGAACGCUGGCGGCAGGCCUAACACAUGCAAGUCGAGCGGAUGAAGGGAGCUUGCUCCUGGAUUCAGCGGCGGACGGGUGAGUAAUGCCUAGGAAUCUGCCUGGUAGUGGGGGAUAACGUCCGGAAACGGGCGCUAAUACCGCAUACGUCCUGAGGGAGAAAGUGGGGGAUCUUCGGACCUCACGCUAUCAGAUGAGCCUAGGUCGGAUUAGCUAGUUGGUGGGGUAAAGGCCUACCAAGGCGACGAUCCGUAACUGGUCUGAGAGGAUGAUCAGUCACACUGGAACUGAGACACGGUCCAGACUCCUACGGGAGGCAGCAGUAGGGAAUAUUGGGCAAUGGGCGAAAGCCUGAUCCAGCCAUGCCGCGUGUGUGAAGAAGGUCUUCGGAUUGUAAAGCACUUUAAGUUGGGAGGAAGGGCAGUAAGUUAAUACCUUGCUGUUUUGACGUUACCAACAGAAUAAGCACCGGCUAACUUCGUG
rnacentral:rRNA from 1 species